GGGGGUAUAGCUCAGCUGGGAGAGCAGCAGACUGAAGCGCGCCUAAAAAGCAUUCUGAAGGUCCCGCGUUCGAUCCGCGGUACCCCCA